UCCGGUUGAUCCUGCCGGACCCGACUGCUAUCAGAGUGGGACUAAGCCAUGCGAGUCAACAUAGCAAUAUGUGGCAUACGGCUCAGUAACACGUAGUCAACAUGCCCAGGGGACGUGGAUAACCUCGGGAAACUGAGGAUAAACCGCGAUAGGUCAUCACUUCUGGAAUGGGUAAUGACUUAAAUCUACAUGGCCCCUGGAUUGGACUGCGGCCGAUCAGGCUGUUGGUGAGGUAAUGGCCCACCAAACCUGUAACCGGUACGGGCUCUGAGAGGAGGAGCCCGGAGAUGGGCACUGAGACAAGGGCCCAGGCCCUAUGGGGCGCAGCAGGCGCGAAACCUCUGCAAUAGGCGAAAGCUUGACAGGGUUACUCUGAGUGAUUUCCCGUUAAGGAGAUCUUUUGGCACCUCUAAAAAUGGUGCAGAACAAGGGGUGGGCAAGUCUGGUGUCAGCCGCCGCGGUAAUACCAGCACCCCGAGUGGUCGGGACGUUUAUUGGGCCUAAAGCAUCCGUAGCCGGUUCUACAAGUCUUCCGUUAAAUCCACCUGCUUAACAGAUGGGCUGCGGAAGAUACUAUAGAGCUAGGAGGCGGGAGAGGCAAGCGGUACUCGAUGGGUAGGGGUAAAAUCCGUUGAUCCAUUGAAGACCACCAGUGGCGAAGGCGGCUUGCCAGAACGCGCUCGACGGUGAGGGAUGAAAGCUGGGGGAGCAAACCGGAUUAGAUACCCGGGUAGUCCCAGCUGUAAACGAUGCAGACUCGGUGAUGAGUUGGCUUAUUGCUAACUCAGUGCCGCAGGGAAGCCGUUAAGUUUGCCGCCUGGGGAGUACGGUCGCAAGACUGAAACUUAAAGGAAUUGGCGGGGGAGCACCACAAGGGGUGAAGCCUGCGGUUCAAUUGGAGUCAACGCCGGAAAUCUUACCGGGGGCGACAGCAGAGUGAAGGUCAAGCUGAAGACUUUACCAGACAAGCUGAGAGGAGGUGCAUGGCCGUCGCCAGCUCGUGCCGUGAGGUGUCCUGUUAAGUCAGGUAACGAGCGAGACCCA
rnacentral:rRNA from 1 species